AACCCUAAUUUCCAACUCCAUUCCAAAGCAAAACAAAACCCUUCUUCUCUAUUUCUCUUUCCAUUUCCAUGCCCAUGCCAACUUCUUUGUUCCUCUCUCUCCUAUUCUUGUCGACUUUUUUGCAUGCAUGCGAUGCUCGUCUUCUUAAAUUAUGCCACAGCUCGAGACUCGAAUCGUGUAUGAUCUCUCCAGGGUUUCGAACGAAUCAACUCGAGAGAAGUUUGGACGAAAGCAGAAGUAACGACGUUUCUUCCAUGGAGAAUGUUGGGAUUGAAAUAUUGAAGGGAAUGAAGAAGCUUAGAAGGUUGGCAAUGGAGCGUCCAGUGAGAGACAGAGACAGAGACAAAGACAUAGACAAAGUGGUGAACUCCGAGGAAAACGAGGUUGGAGAAGACAUGGUCGUGAUGGAUUAUGCACAGCCCCACAGGAAACCUCCUAUUCACAAUCAAAAACCCUAGCUCACAAUUUAAUAUGAUCUCUUCCAAAUUUCCUAUGAUGUUCAAAAUAUGUUCCAAAAAUCAAUGUAUUGUAUCUAAGGGUUUACUAUAUUCAAGAUUUUUGUGUUAAACAAAAGCAUGCAUUAAAGAUA